rnacentral:rRNA from 1 species
ACAAAAGCACCAAAGGGCACAUGGUGGAUGCCUUGGCACCGAGAGGCGAAGAAGGACGUGCAAAGCUGCGAUAAGCCGCGGGGAGCUGCAAAGAAGCUGUGAUCCGCGGAUUUCCGAAUGGGACAACCCCCCAGACCCGGCUUCGGCCGGGGGCGAACGCCCUGAACUGAACCAUCUCAGUAGGGGCAGGAGAAGAAAACAACAGUGAUUCCCGAAGUAGUGGCGAGCGAACCGGGAACAGCCCAAACCGGCGGCCAUUGGCCGUCGGGGUAGUAGGACCACAACAACCGGCGACAAAGCGAAGUCGAACGGCCCUGGAACGGCCGGCCGCAGAAGGUGAAAGCCCUGUAGGCGUAAGCGAUGUUGUUGGUAGUGGUAUCCUGAGUAGGGCGGGGCCGGAGAAACCCUGUCUGAAUCGGCCGGCACCAUCCGGCAAGGCUAAAUACUCCUCGGUGACCGAUAGCGAACAAGUACCGUGAGGGAAAGGUGAAAAGAACGCCGAGAGGGCGAGUUAAAAGUACCUGAAACCGUGUGCCUACAAGCGGUCGGAGCCUUAUUUGCCAUUCGUGGCAAACAGGGUGACGGCGUGCCUUUUGCAUAAUGAGCCUACGAGUUGCACCUGUCGUGCGAGGUUAAGCCCUUCUGGGGCGCAGCCGCAGCGAAAGCGAGUCUGAAAGGGCGCGCAGUACGGCGGGGCAGACGCGAAACCAAGUGAUCUAUCCAUGGCCAGGAUGAAGCUGGGGUAACACCCGGUGGAGGUCCGAACCCACUGAUGUUGAAAAAUCAGGGGAUGAGCUGUGGAUAGGGGUGAAAAGCCAAUCGAACUUGGAGAUAGCUCGUUCUCCCCGAAAUAUAUUUAGGUAUAGCGUCGGGUGAUGUGCUGCGGAGGUAGAGCACUGAUUAGGCUAGGGGGCUUCACCGCCUACCAAACCUUGACAAACUCCGAAUUCCGCAGUAUUCCAGCCCGGCAGUCAGCCACAGGAUGAUAACGUCCUGUGACGAGAGGGAAACAACCCGGAACACCAGCUAAGGCCCCCAAAUACCGUCUAAGUUGAUCAAAGAAGGUUGGGUUGCUCAGACAAUCAGGAUGUUGGCUUAGAAGCAGCCAUUCAUUUAAAGAGUGCGUAAUAGCUCACUGAUCGAGCGACCCGGCGUCGAAAAUGGUCGGGCAUCAAGUCGGUUGCCGAAGCUGUGUCUUUGCAGGUUUACCUGCAAGGGGUAGGGGAGCAUUGCCAGGGCGCAGAAGUCAUCGGGAGACCGGUGGUGGAGCCCUGGGAAGAGAAACUGUAGGCAUGAGUAACGACAAGGCCGGUGAGAAACCGGCCCACCGAAAACCCAAGGUUUCCUGAUCAACGCUAAUCGGAUCAGGGUUAGUCGGGUCCUAAGGCACCUCUGGCAGGGCCAGAGCAGGCCGAUGGCAAACGGGUUAAAUAUUCCCGUACCCGCAUAAACGCUAAGCUAAGGCGUGACGCAGAAGUGACCCCUGCGCGUGGUGACGAAUGCCCACGUUGAAGGCGUUAGGCCGGCCGGCAGGCAAAUCCGCCGGCCAUCAGGCUGAGCGCCGACAGUACCGGGAGGCUUCGGCCGAACGGAUAGUCAGGCUAAUCAGGCUGCCAAGAAAAGCGUCGUAGUUAGUUUAUGCGGCCCGUACCGCAAACCGACACAGGUGGGUGAGGAGAGAAUCCUAAGGUGCUCGAGUGAUUCAUGGCCAAGGAACUCGGCAAAUUGGAUCCGUAACUUCGGGAGAAGGAUCCCCCCUGAUGCCUUCGGGUGUUGGGGGGCGCAGUGAAAAGGCCCAAACGACUGUUUAUCAAAAACACAUGUCUCUGCUAACACGGAAGUGGAUGUAUAGGGACUGACACCUGCCCGGUGCCGGAAGGUUAAGGAAGGGCGUUAGAGGCUUCGGCCUCAAAGCGCUUGACUGAAGCCCCGGUAAACGGCGGCCGUAACUAUAACGGUCCUAAGGUAGCGAAAUUCCUUGUCGGGUAAGUUCCGACCUGCACGAAUGGUGUAACGAUUUGGGCACUGUCUCGGCCAUGAGCUCGGUGAAAUUGUGGUCUCGGUGAUGACGCCGAGUACCCGCAGUGGGACGGAAAGACCCCGUGAACCUUUACUACAGCUUUGCAUUGGAUUCGGAUGAGUCAUGUGCAGGAUAGGUGGGAGGCUUCGAAGCGUCGGCGCCAGUCGAUGUGGAGCCAUCCUUGAAAUACCACCCUUGGCUCAGCUGGGUUCUAACCCUGUAACCGCAGGGCACAGUGCAUGGUGGGUAGUUUGACUGGGGCGGUCGCCUCCUAAAUAGUAACGGAGGCUCCCAAAGGUUCCCUCAGCACGGUUGGCAAUCGUGCCGCGAGUGUAAAGGCACAAGGGAGCUUGACUGCAAGACAGACACGUCGAGCAGCUGCGAAAGCAGGGCUUAGUGAUCCGGCGGUUCCGUAUGGAAGGGCCGUCGCUCAAAGGAUAAAAGGUACUCCGGGGAUAACAGGCUGAUCUCCCCCAAGAGUUCAUAUCGACGGGGAGGUUUGGCACCUCGAUGUCGGCUCAUCGCAUCCUGGGGCUGGAGAAGGUCCCAAGGGUAUGGCUGUUCGCCAUUUAAAGCGGUACGCGAGCUGGGUUCAGAACGUCGUGAGACAGUUCGGUCCCUAUCUACUGUGGGCGUUGGAAUAUUGAGGAGAGCUGCCUCUAGUACGAGAGGACCGGGGUGGACGAACCGCUGGUGUACCUGUUGUGUGGUCGCAUGCACCGCAGGGUAGCUAUGUUCGGACGGGAUAAGCCGCUGAAAGCAUCUAAGCGCGAAGCCCACUCCAAGAUAAGUAUUCCCCCAAGAGCCCUGGAAGACGACCAGGUCGAUAGGCGGCAGGUGUACGCAUGGUAACAUGUUCAGCCGAGCCGUACUAAUCGCUCUUACGGCUUUUGUCU